UACGUAGGUGGCAAGCGUUGUCCGGAAUUACUGGGCGUAAAGCGUGCGCAGGCGGUGAUGUAAGACAGUUGUGAAAUCCCCGGGCUCAACCUGGGAACUGCAUCUGUGACUGCAUCGCUGGAGUACGGCAGAGGGGGAUGGAAUUCCGCGUGUAGCAGUGAAAUGCGUAGAUAUGCGGAGGAACACCGAUGGCGAAGGCAAUCCCCUGGGCCUGUACUGACGCUCAUGCACGAAAGCGUGGGGAGCAAACAGG
rnacentral:rRNA from 1 species